rnacentral:rRNA from 1 species
GACGAACGCUGGCGGCGUGCUUAACACAUGCAAGUCGAGCGAGGCCCCUCCUUCGGGAGGGUGUCCUAGCGGCGAACGGGUGAGUAACACGUGGGCAACCUGCCCUCAGCUCUGGGAUAACUCCGGGAAACCGGGGCUAAUACCGGAUACGACCUCCACGGGCAUCUGCGGAGGUGGAAAGUUUUUCGGCUGAGGAUGGGCCCGCGGCCUAUCAGCUAGUUGGUGGGGUAGUGGCCCACCAAGGCGACGACGGGUAGCCGGCCUGAGAGGGCGACCGGCCACACUGGGACUGAGACACGGCCCAGACUCCUACGGGAGGCAGCAGUGGGGAAUAUUGCGCAAUGGGCGAAAGCCUGACGCAGCGACGCCGCGUGAGGGACGAAGGCCUUCGGGUUGUAAACCGCUUUCAGCAGGGACGAAGCGAAAGUGACGGUACCUGCAGAAGAAGCACCGGCCAACUACGUG